rnacentral:rRNA from 1 species
UACGUAGGGGGCGAGCGUUGUCCGGAGUUACUGGGCGUAAAGCGCACGCAGGCGGUCUGUUAAGUUUGGAGUGACAGUUGGUGGCUUAACUGCCAAAGUGCUUCGAAAACUGACAGACUUGAGGGCUUCAGAGGGACACGGAAUUCCGGGUGGAGUGGUGAAAUGCGCAGAUAUCAGGAGGAACACCGGUGGCGAAGGCGGAUCUCUGGGCCGAUACUGUCGCUGAGGAGCGAAAGCGUGGGGAGCGAACAGG